rnacentral:sRNA from 1 species
CUUUUCGAGGUAGGAGUCGAGUACUGUAAGGUAUGGUGCUGGGUGCAGAUGCAGUGUGGCUCUGGAUAGCACCUUAUGGACAGUUGUGUCCCCAAGGAAGGAUGAGAAUAGCUACUGAAGUCCUAAACAGCAAGCCUAACUCAAGCCAUUGGCACACAGGCAUUAGACAGAAAGCUGGAAGUUGAAAUGGUGGAGUCCAACUUGCCUGGACCAGCUUAAUGGUUCUGCUCCUGGUAACGUUUUUAUCCAUGGAUGACUUGCUUGGGUAAGGACAUGAAGACAGUUCCUGUCAUACCUUUUAAAGGUACAUGUUUUAUUGAUGUUAACGUUAAUUGAUUGAGCUACUGUUAGUGAUGAUUUUAAAAUUAAAGCAGAUGGGAAUCUCUCUGAGAAAGAAAAUGGAGAUUAAUCUUAAACUGAAACAGUAGUUGGGAAAUCUUUUAGAAAUCCACCUAUUACUACCUAUUGGUAAAGGAGAUAAAAUUUCUACAGGUAUGGAGAGUCGGCUUGACUACACUGUGUGGAGCAACUUUUAAAGAAGCAAAGGACUCAGAAUUCAUGAUUGAAGAAAUGCAGGCAGACCUGUUAUCCUAAACUAGGGUUUUUAACGACCACAACAAGCAAGCAUGCAGCUUACUGCUUGAAAGGGUCUUGCCUCACCCAAGCUGGAGUGCAGUGGCCUUUGAAGCUUACUACAGCCUCAAACUUCUGGGCUCAAGUGAUCCUCAGCCUCCCAGUGGUCUUUGUAGACUGCCUGAUGGAGUCUCAUGGCACAAGAAGAUUAAAACAAUGUCUCCAAUUUUAAUAAAUUUUUGCAAUCCA